AUGUUCCCCGGGUCCUAUGUUCCCCGGGUCCUAUGUUCCCCGGGUCCUAUGUUCCCCGGGUCCUAUGUUCCCCGGUAUGUAUGGCUACAGGGGAACAUAGGACCCUUUUUGGGGAAAACCGGGAACAUAGGACCUGCUCAAUUUUGUUCUGCUCAAUGGUUGAAUCUCCUCGUGACUGAAUGUUUGUAUACAGCGCGCAUGCUGUAUGAGCGCAGGGUUGAUGCGCUCCACUUUUUUCUGUGGAGAACCAGCACCUUGAACAUUAAGCAUAAAACGAAACCGGAUCGUUUUCGCCCGUUUCGGCUCCGUGUGGACGGGGCCUUAUUUCCAAUCGGUCAUUCUGACCGGAGACAUUUAGGAUUUUCGGUCCUCCUCAUUUUUUUCCGGUCAAAGACCGGUAAUUACCGGACAACGGGAACUCUGCCACCAAUCAAGCGCUCUCCUGGGCCUCACAGGUGUCAGUCCCUCUCAGCUCCAGAUGGCUCCUGGUUCUGAGCCAGUGGGACAUGGCUUCCCUCUUCUGCUCCACUGGUGGAAGAAGACGAGCAGGAGUCAGUGUUUCAGUAAGUUCAGUGAGUAAAACAGUCUGAGUCUAAAAGAAGCAUUGGCUGUUGUAGAGAGUAACGUUUAAAGUAUCACCUUAGGACGUAAAACAACAUGUAGGCGGUCUUCUCUCUGGUCCUCAGGACCGGCGUCUCCGCGGGCGUCACACGGGCGUCGUUGAGGGUCAACCAUCCGGCGCCGUCCUCUCGAGCUACGUCACUGACGUAGUGGCCUGGGGGACACAAGACAUCCAUUACCUUACUGUCCCCCAGCGUGGGACGGGUCUAGUGUCUGACGCGUGUGUCAGGUACAGAUGUACAUUCUUUACUAUAAAAGCUUUAGUUACCGGUGUUGAUGCUCUCCCCGAGGUGAGAGACCAUCCCCGACAGACGGUAGGUGCUCUGGUUGCUGUGAUCCUUCUGUAGAGAAACAGGAUUCAUUUGUCAGAGAACCUAACCCUAACCCUAAGCAUUUUUACACUGCCAAGCAGGUACGGUCGCUGCUUGGCAGAUGUUAGUUUCACUGUCCUGCCUGUGUAAAGCCUUCAAAGAGCCGGCUUUCUUGUUCAUUGGAGCAGGCGGG
rnacentral:lncRNA from 1 species